ACUUCCUUCUUAUUUCUUUUCCCUAGCCCCAAAUUUAUGAAAUUGGAAUAUCGUCAAAAAGAAGACAAGAAUUUGAUGCGCAAAUAGAAACUGAUUUAAAUACAGGCCAACAAUCAUCUCCCUCAAGCCUCAAACCUUUUCCACUCUGGAGGAAAGACUAGGUAGGAUUGCAUUAAUCUGCUCAGUGGGGUUAGUUGGAAAUGGAAAUAUCAAAG
rnacentral:lncRNA from 1 species